UGUUUUUUUACUUCAGUUUGUUUUUGUUUGUUUGUUUUUCUCCUUUAAUAUUCCUUUCGGGAAUAGUUUCUGCUGUGAACAAUUGUUCUUCGUGUGGGAUCACAUUAACAGACGAAAAGAAAACCAAUAAUUCUAAAUGACAACAGCAGUUAGUGAAAUAUGCUAAAAAUCUAUUCAUAUUUUUAUUUCCUGUGGAGAGUUUUUUGUGCUUUUAUUUUGAAGGAGGAAGUUAGGCAGCAACAGGAAGUCAUGGUGAAGAGUUUGCUUCUAAAGUUCAGUUUUCCAGCUCGGAGUCAUCAGCAGGACUGAGGGAUGAAGAUGCAGCUCGUCUUCUGUCUCACGGAGCUGAUGGAUGCGGAGGAGGUCUGCAGAGCCACUGUGACGUCAGAUUCUCUGAGCUCCGGACUCCUUCAGGUUCAUCCUCCAACAUGCAGACAAAGACGUUUUCCUGCAGGAAGCUGAAGAUCACAGAGAAUGGAUGUGAAUUAAGGUGUGCAUCAUUCCCUCCUCCUCGUCUUCGGCUGAUGGGAUCUCCUGCCCGGCUGCAGAUGAGGAUCCACUUCGCUCUGGCACAGAAAAAAUUCUGAACAUUCAUCACAAAUGAACCAUAAAGAAAUUACUACAAAGAUUUGGAUCUGAAUAAAGUUCAACAACGGUUUAUUCAGAGGAGUUGCUCUGAUCAAUGGCUUGAUGGCGCCCCCA